ensembl:lncRNA
CUAGAGCUGGCCCCUGACCUCCUAAGAGGAAAACUAAGCACACAACCAUAAAAAUACCAAUAAAAAGCAGCACUGUGUUAACAGAUAUUGAGGCGAAGGACUGUUAUAAGUCUGCACUGCUCAAUGUCAACUUAAGGCACUCCACUUUUUUGUAAUGAUCUAUAACAGUUUUACUCUAAUGGUAAAUGAGGCCGUAUUUAUGUAGAUGCAACAGUUCAACGAGUUUUCCUUUGCUUGGUGUGAAAAAAACUUGACCUGCCCCUCAUCUAAAGGAAUAAAUAUUCUUAUUUGUGUAUUCAAGCAUGCCAUUUCUAAAAAUCUUUAAUAUAGACAUUUUUGUCUUAGUUUCAGUAAUCAACUGGGGGACGUUUCUAAUAUGUGUCAGUUACCAUUGUUUACUUGUAAAUAGUGGUUUCAGAGGGAAAGAUUGAUUAAUAUGAUCAACAUGGGCAUCUGAUCAGAUUUAAGAACAGACAUCAGAUUGUGCCCCAGUGCUUUAAGCUUUAUUUCUCGCUUUAUAUUAAAAGCAGCGGUUUAAAAAAGACACAUGUGGACUGUAAUGCAAGCCAAAGCAAUAUGAGACUUUUGAUGUGUUAUUACACUUCUCUAAAAGGGGGGGGGGGGUACUCAGAGACAGAAACCAGUUUAUUUUCUAUAUUCUGAUUGUUUUUAAUCAGGGCUUCAUAUAUCAUCCAGGGCCUGUAUAACAGAACAUUCUGCUCCUAAAAACACAUCUGCUGACGGUGUUUUCCUCGACUCCCAAACUCCCUCUGUAGAAAAUUUUGAUCCUAACGUGCCGACAAAAUUAAAAGCAAAUGCUGAAAUCUGCCUUUCUGGAAAAGGUGUAACAAAAAAUUCAUCAUAAAGUAAGAAUGUACCGUUCACCUGUAGUGUCUCUGCUUAAUCAUUUGUGUCAGCUUCGUUGGCUGCUGAGAAAGAAACCUGAGCCUGAUCGCAGAUUACCAUCACCGAAUGAGCACUAGUGACACUCAGUGGAUUAUCCAGGAACAGCCAGUCCUAAAACGUGAGGUAACAGAUGAAUUGCUUUUGAACACAUUAAAGGGACAGAUCACUCCAACAUCAAAAUGACAUGUUUUGACCUCUGAUCUGUAGCUCCAAUUAUCCUUCUAGAUCAGGGGUAUCAAACAUGCAGCCCAGGGGCCAAAUCCCGGCCCCUCAAAGGGUCCUCCUGGCCCACUGCGCGGCUUCAGAAGGUUUUGUACUUUUGUACAUCAGCUGUGAUCCCUAGAUUUUAACACACGUGUAAUGACAGGAGCUCAUGACUGUUGGAAAAACAGACCUGCAGCAGGCAGCAGAGACCACUCACUGAAAAGGAAGGAUCUAUGGAUGCAACAAGAGGCGGGCGGAUCGAUAUCAGUACCAAUGUUAGUAUUGGUAUGGGAUCAAUACUAAGUUAUACUUUGUUUCUACGCUC